rnacentral:rRNA from 1 species
AUGGUGGGAGGAGUGGCAGCUGCGUAUCCUGGUGCUCAGCAGCUUGUUUGUCCAGUCCUCCUCUUCUUCUCCAUCUGGGUGCGUCGAGUCCCCUGCCUACGUAGGCUGAGAGCGGUGGUGUGGUUGGCGUACAUAGGAGGCGAUGCCCUCGCCAUCUAUGCCCUUGCCACCCUCUUCGACCGUCAUCAGCAACGAACAACAGAUGUGGUGGGUGAGAGCAGCAGCAGCGGCGGCGGCCUGGAGGUGCUAUGGGCGCCUGUUCUCCUCAUCCACCUGGGUGGCCAGGUGACAUUGAGCGCCUUCAGCCUCGAGGACAAUGAGUUGUGGCUUCGACAUGUCAUAACUCUGGUGUCUCAGGUCACCGUCGCUUUGUACGUCUUCUGCAAGUGGUGGUCCGGCGAGUUGAAGCUGCUGCUGGCGGCAGUUAUGCUCUUCGUCUUUGGCAUCCUCAAAUUUAGCCUCAAGCCAUUGGCUCUUAGGAGAGCUAGCUAUAGCCAGAUGCUAGCUUCCACCGAUGUAUCCCUAUCAAGAGAGGGAGAAAAGAAAGAAGGCGAUGGAGCAACAGGGGACAAGGCCCUUUCCCUUGAUGAAUAUGUGCAAAAAGCAAAGGAUAUGAUGUGCGCAGUGAGUUGUGAUUCACAAGCUGCUGAACCCGCCAUGAAGAAGGCAGCGACGAGCAGUGAUCAUGAAGCUGAGCCGAUAUCAAUCAGGCACAUCUGUUACUUCGUGAACAUGUAUGUUCCGUAUGUUGCUCGGCUAAGUGACCUGCAAUAUCUCCAGAAUCCGCCUCCUCCUCAGAAAGAUAACUUCGAGAUGGAGAAUACACCAUACAAUAUUUUGCAGAAGUGCUUUCACCUUAUAUUUGAGAAGCUCUACAGCAGAGAGGGAUACAAUACCAUUGAGGAGGUCUUGACGUUUUUGCUUCCGCUCCUGGCGGUAGCUUCUAUGGUCCUUUUUGCCAUGAGCCACAAGGACGGUUACAAUAGCAGGGACGUCAAGGUAACAUACAUCCUCUUCUCUUGCACUACUAUGGUCGAGUUAUUGCUACUCUUGACGGCCACUGUCUUGGGAUGUGCCGUGGGGUGUAUUCCGUCCCUAGAAUUCCUCUAUCAUUACAUCAACGGAUGGCAUGACAUGGUUUCGCAGUAUGACCUCAUGUCGUUUUAUGUUCGCAAGAAGAGACCCACCUUCCUGAUGAAGCUGGUUCUCUUUGAAUGUCUAAGGGAGUACGUUAGCAAGGUUUGGUAUGUAAGGCAGGUGCCUGCAGCCCGUGAAAUUACAGAGCUGGUUCAACAGCACAUAGAAGAUGGAUGGAAGAAGUUCAUAAGUGAUGCCACCACAUAUAAAAGGUUUGGCAACUUCAGGGGCCAGCUGACUCUGAGCAGGCUCAGCGACCAACAGUGUGACCUUGGAGAGGAGUUGUCGGGUAGCUUGGAGGUACCAUUCGACAAGAGUAUCCUUCUUUGGCACAUCGCCACAAACCUCUACUUUCACCGGCCUGUGGACAAGCCAUCAUCCUCCGUCCGAAGUCAACGCGUUCUUACAAAACGCAGUAUGGAGAUGUCCAACUACAUGUUAUACCUGCUAUUCAUCCGCACCGAGAUGUUGUUGCCCGGCACCAGACCGGGGCUCUUCUCUGUCGCCGUAUAUAAGCUAGAGGACAUCUUGAAGAACAGCAAGGAAAACCUGGAGAAUGAAGAAGCACUUGCUCAAGAGAUCAUUAAACACACGGAUGGGAGGACUCUGAUCCAUGAAGCUUGCAGGCUCGCUGUGUCACUGAUGAAGCUGGACGAAGAGGAGAUGUGGCAGACAAUCCAGGGCGUGUGGGUGGAGAUGCUCUGCUACUCUGCUAGUAGAUGUAGAGGCUUGCUGCACGCCAAGAGCCUGGGUGAAGAUGGGGAAUACCUCUCCUAUGUUUGGCUGCUAUGGUCAUACAUGGGGAUGGAGACCUUGGCGGACAAGCUCCAAAAGCCUGAGUCUCCGACACAAAAAGAGAUCAUUACUUUGGCCAACGAAUUGACUUCUACGUCCCAAGGUAGACUCAACCGUCAGUCAUCGAAUGGAGGUAUCUCUAGCCCAGUAUGA